CACGUAGGGUGCGAGCGUUUGUCCGGAAUUAUUGGGCGUAAAGAGCUCGUAGGCGGUCUGUCGCGUCGGUCGUGAAAACCUGCAGCUUAACUGUGGGCGUGCGGUCGAUACGGGCAUGACUGGAGUUCGGCAGGGGAGACUGGAAUUCCUGGUGUAGCGGUGAAAUGCGCAGAUAUCAGGAGGAACACCGGUGGCGAAGGCGGGUCUCUGGGCCGAUACUGACGCUGAGGAGCGAAAGCGUGGGGAGCGAACAGG
rnacentral:rRNA from 1 species